CAUAGACCUGGAGACAGGUUAUAGCAGUGAGAGCACCAUCAGGGUAGGUGUUGAACAAACAUUGAUAGCAGCCUUCAUCCUGCUCUGUCAGGUUCCUGAUAACUAUGGAGUUGUUCUGCAGUCCAGCAUCUUUAAACUCCACUUUAUCAAUAAAGUCAGGAUUCACUCUUGGACCAAAGGGUUUGCUGGAAGUAGCAAGAGUCUUCUCUCCCUCAGGUUUCCACCAUGUGACUUGAACAACAUCUUUAUUUUGCAUCAGCUGACAGUUUAAAUGAGCCUCUUCUCCCACUGCUGCCAUCACAGUCUGCUGUGUCUGUACCAGAGCUGUUAG